rnacentral:pre_miRNA from 1 species
GUCGGGAAGAGGAAAAUUGAGUGUGUCAGAGCAGUGGGCAUGGAACAUGGAGGAAAGCAUUCGUUUGGCGUUUUCCUUGAUGCCUUCCAUGCUUAUUGUUCUUAGUUGCUCAUUCCCCUACCUUUUGGCU